CCUACGGGAGGCAGCAGUGAGGAAUAUUGGUCAAUGGACGAAAGUCUGAACCAGCCAAGUAGCGUGAAGGAUGACUGCCCUAUGGGUUGUAAACUUCUUUUAUAUGGGAAUAAACUGUUCCACGUGUGGGAUUUUGUAUGUACCCUAUGAAUAAGGAUCGGCUAACUCCGUGCCAGCAGCCGCGGUAAUACGGAGGAUCCGAGCGUUAUCCGGAUUUAUUGGGUUUAAAGGGAGCGUAGGUGGACUGUUAAGUCAGUUGUGAAAGUUUGCGGCUCAACCGUGAAAUUGCAGUUGAAACUGGCAGUCUUGAGUACAGUAGAGGUGGGCGGAAUUCGUGGUGUAGCGGUGAAAUGCUUAGAUAUCACGAAGAACUCCGAUUGCGAAGGCAGCUUACUGGACUGCAACUGACACUGAGGCUCGAAAGUGUGGGUAUCAAACAGGAUUAGAUACCCUAGUAGUC
rnacentral:rRNA from 1 species